CCUACGGGUGGCAGCAGUGGGGAAUAUUGCACAAUGGGCGCAAGCCUGAUGCAGCCAUGCCGCGUGUGUGAAGAAGGCCUUCGGGUUGUAAAGCACUUUCAGCGGGGAGGAAGGCGGUGAGGUUAAUAACCUCAUCGAUUGACGUUACCCGCAGAAGAAGCACCGGCUAACUCCGUGCCAGCAGCCGCGGUAAUACGGAGGGUGCAAGCGUUAAUCGGAAUUACUGGGCGUAAAGCGCACGCAGGCGGUCUGUCAAGUCGGAUGUGAAAUCCCCGGGCUCAACCUGGAAACUGCAUUCGAAACUGGCAGGCUAGAGUCUUGUAGAGGGGGGUAGAAUUCCAGGUGUAGCGGUGAAAUGCGUAGAGAUCUGGAGGAAUACCGGUGGCGAAGGCGGCCCCCUGGACAAAGACUGACGCUCAGGUGCGAAAGCGUGGGGAGCAAACAGGAUUAGAUACCCCGGUAGUC
rnacentral:rRNA from 1 species